rnacentral:rRNA from 1 species
AGUGAACGCUGGCGGUAGGCCUAACACAUGCAAGUCAAACGGCAGCACAGUAAGAGCUUGCUCUUACGGGUGGCGAGUGGCGGACGGGUGAGGAAUACAUCGGAAUCUACUUUUUCGUGGGGGAUAACGUAGGGAAACUUACGCUAAUACCGCAUACGACCUACGGGUGAAAGCAGGGGAUCUUCGGACCUUGCGCGAUUGAAUGAGCCGAUGUCGGAUUAGCUAGUUGGCGGGGUAAAGGCCCACCAAGGCGACGAUCCGUAGCUGGUCUGAGAGGAUGAUCAGCCACACUGGAACUGAGACACGGUCCAGACUCCUACGGGAGGCAGCAGUGGGGAAUAUUGGACAAUGGGCGCAAGCCUGAUCCAGCCAUACCGCGUGGGUGAAGAAGGCCUUCGGGUUGUAAAGCCCUUUUGUUGGGAAAGAAAAGCAGCAGGUUAAUACCCCGCUGUUCUGACGGGACCCAAAGACUAAGCACCGGCUAACUUCGUG